UUCAAGUUCAUACAUCUUUUAAAAGAAACUAGUGGCUUUUAUAGAACUUUACCCUCCUUGCAAAACAUGCACACAUACACAUAUAUACAUACACAUCUCCAUCCUAUACACAUCUAUUAAGUACCAGUUAUUUCUUUCACCUGCAAUUAAUAAAGGAUGAUCCUUACCUAAAAUACAGUAGUUGAGAAUAAUGGCAAAUUCUUGCAGUCAGAAUAAAUGACUUUUACAUCACAAAGGAGGCAUGGUGCUCGAGUUCUUUACCAAGUUCGGUGCUUAGGAGCAGCUACUGGAAGUGCUGUUUCCUAAGCCCAGGUGGCAGGAAACACUACUCUAGUAUUUAAGCUUCUGGAACUCCUUUUACAUUUUUAUCAGUUACUCUAAGGAAAUGACCACUCCCUGGAGUACAGGAAAAUCUACAUGGCAGAAAUGAUGAGUAGGACACAGUUUGCCAGACAGGAAGACUGCGUGCGUGCCCAGUGGUGCCUUACCUUUCACGUUCCAGGUGCUGCUGAUGCUGCCAGGCUGAGCACCAGAUUCUGAGAACUACUGCUCUAGAUGAACAACAGCUGUGUAUCCACUUCAGUUGUUCCAGAAAAUUGCGGAAAGAAAUACACGGGGACACAGAAUUCAGAUGCCAGGAGUUGAGCACCUUCCUCCACCACACCCCUCUGCCACGAUGCUUUUGCCUUGCAGCCAGCCCACUGUGGAUAGAAACCUCUGAAACUGUAAGCCAAAAUAAACGUCUCCUUUAAGGUGCAAGGUGCAGGUGGGUAUUUUGUCUCAGCAAUGGGAAAACUAAUACAGCCUUCUGCCCUGCUCUGGCACCUGCAGCCAUGUGGACCUCCCCUCCAGGAGCUGAUUUCCUGCCCACACUAGGCUGUGUUAUCUUUUUACCCAGCAUUUUAUACUCAGCUAGCUGCUCACCAAGACCAAGCCCUAGGAAAAGUUUUAACAAGCAAGUUCUUUUCAACUCUUCAGAGCCAGGAUUCACUAUUGAGAUUUAGUAUCUCUCAGGGACAUUAGCAUUUAAAUGGGACCCUGUAGAAUCCAGAAACCUUCAUAGCUCAAGGAAUAAAGCCACAGCAAAGAAUUGUUUUUAAUCAGUUUGGGCCAGGGCUCUUGUCCCCAGACAACCCGAGCCACAUGCUUAGGGCCAGCACCUGAGUUGGCCAAUCCCACCUCCACUUUAAGGACUGUUCCCGUGAAAAAGAUAGAGAACUAAUGUCUUACACCACAUGAGUUCCCAGGUCUACUGGGGAACUGCACAAAU